GCUAGGCGAGGCCCAUGCGGCUCAUCCGCCGGGGAUGGCGAACCACACGGUGACACCUCAGCACACACGGCAUGCCGGACCGGGGGUCCUAGGAGGUUGCGCCGAACCACGUACGCGUUGGCACCCGACAGCUGUCAUGCGCUACAACCGAACCGGUAAUCCUCCGCCACCGGGCACACAGUUCCCCCCCACGACUGUAGGAGACGAGGAGAAGAGUCUGCGAAGUCGUAACCCCCAAGCACGGUGGCGACAAGUGCGUGCCCCCCCUGAAUGCAAACAGGGGAACCAAAAGCAAGAGACAGCACACAUAUCAUGCGGAAUGACAUGCGAGAGUGUUCGUGCCACGCGACAGACACAAACUGUAACCAAACUAGCAUAGCACACGCGUCACUAGUCAGGUCAGUCCUCCACGCUAGCCACUGCGAGCUAGCUCCAAGCGGAUGGCUGAUGAGAACACGCUGUGAAGCGAGCAGCGGCACGCUGCUUGCAACUGCAAUCCAGCAAUGACACCCGAGAUACAGGGUAUCGGGCACACGAGCGGCGGUGCAUGCCCCGCCCUGCAGGCGCCAGUCGGGCCAUGCCGCAGCGGCCACCAAGUCGGCCCCCCAGGAUGCGCACUGGGGUCGUCCUGCUAAGGCUCUGGCUAGCGCGAUGCGAGCUCCACGUGGGUGGUGGUGCGCCGGGGCACAGAGUAGAGGAAGCCGAUGGGGACGAGGUACGCUGAGGCUUAAGGCUGGCUGACCCGGGGUGAAACAACCGAGAAGAGAAGUAGCAGGUGACUGUCCAGGAAGACGAAGAAGUUGCUGUUGGCGGCGAUAAGCGCGGCCAGUAGCAGUGUCGGCGGUACUGCUGGGUGCAGUGGCGCUGGCGGCGCUGUGAGGGAAGCAGCGCGGCUAGGCGGGAUGGGAGAAGUCGGAGCAACUGCUGACGCGGGGCUGCGACGCGUGCCGAAGUCGGCCAUGCAGGAACCGAGUGACACGGCCGCUCCCGAAGGCCAAAUUGCUGAUAUAUGAAAGAGCCUGAAAUGCGUGUCCGUUACAGGAGUCCAGAAGAGCGGAAGGCGAGGAGCGAAUGCAUCCAAUUUCCGAUUGACGGCUGGGCGUCAGGCGCGCAGAGCGCCGGCAAAUAGAGCUACGUUGGGAUGCCGUAGUGUAUAACGUGCUGAGAGGCAACUGAGACCCAGAUGUAACGCGGCGGAAAGACAUCGCCGGUCAGAAGCGCAGCAGCGGCGCAAGAGUUCAGUCCUCAGCUACGCUGCCUCAGAAGGGUUGAGUUACAUCGUCCAGAUACGGCCCAGAGCGUGGAGACACCGUAUGGCCACUGAGUCCCUGAAUCCCGUCAGCGGUGAGGUGCAUGAAGCCGAGACGCUGAACGGGGACGACCAAUGAUGUUCAGCUGCUAGAGCUGGCUGCUGCUGCGGGCGAGGUGCAGGCUAACGCAGGCUUAACGGACAGAGGCGGCUCACAUGGCUUGUGGGUAAGAGUUAACACAGAGUGAUUGUCAGUCUGUUGGCUUACGCCUUUGGUAACUCAACCAGCGAGCCAGGUCGCUGUUGAGUACCAUAUAGGCUAGGCGAGGCCCAUGCGGCUCAUCCGCCGGGGAUGGCGAACCACACGGUGACACCUCAGCACACACGGCAUGCCGGACCGGGGGUCCUAGGAGGUUGCGCCGAACCACGUACGCGUUGGCACCCGACACACGCCCCUGGGGUCCAGAGCAGGGUGUGUGAUGGGACAGGGUUCAAGGCAGGUUGGCGAGGUCCCAGAGCAGGGUGUUCGUUCUCCACGUCACUGGCUCGUGAACUGCGUCAGCAGGUCCCUCUUGUAACCAAU
rnacentral:lncRNA from 1 species